AGCUAAUGUGAUUGAAAUGCCAGAUGCUAGAAGAACUGAUGUAUUUAGUAGUGGAACUUCUAGGGGAUUUAGUGGAAUAAUUCCUGUUGGUGGUCAGCAACCUCCUAGAUCGUGUGUGGGGACUAGGCUAGAGUGGUAGAAAGCUCAGAAGAAUCCGGCGAAGAAAAAGACUUCGGAGAUAAUAAAUAAGAUUAUUCCAUAUCGAAGUCCUUUUUGUACAAUAGGGGUGUGAUGUCCUUGGUAGGUCUCCUUCAACAUCGGAAGAG